ACUUGCGCGCGCGUGCGCGUGUUCUUGUUUACAUGUUCCUUCUUAAAAUAGUUACCUAACAAUGGUCUCCAUAUCACCAAUUGUUCGAAAUUGUUCAAAACCGUGUAGCCGUUAUAUUGUUCUCGUAAAGACGCAAUUCCUUCUCUUACUUUCCUCUGUUUUAAUCCAUUUUCAGUUGUUAUCACUCGUGCCUUUUCCCAAUCAAUCCCACUCUCGCAAUCAACGCUAUGUCUCGCCAAACCUCCAUCUUCCUUACCCAUUCUUUCUUCCGCCGACUCUAGUUCCCCAUUCUUUAUGUCCUCUCCCGUCAACCAAACUUUACUCAUAUGCUCUUUCUUUCUAGCUCCAAAUAAGCGCCAAGUCUCUCCUACAUAAACCGCCUCAACACAUUUGCAAGGAACUUCGUAUACAACAGUCUUCGGUUUCUCUCCUAGUGGUUUUUGUGCCUUUGUUUUCAUUUGUCUCACUUUAUUCCCAGGUCUGAAUUCGGUACGGAAACGAUGUUUCUUAGUGACUCUCUUGAACUGCUGCGACAUUCCUGGCUUGUAAAUAUGGUAUAACCACCAUUCUUCUACAACAUUCCUCAUCUUUAGACUCUUUAGACUCAUUCGUAUCAUCUUUAAACUCUGUCAACUCACUCCCCUUUGCUUUUCACAUACCGUUUCACUGUCUCUCUGUCAUAUCUAUUAGCCACAAACACAUCCUCGAUGUUCUUCAGUUCCUCUUCUACAUAUGCAGGAUCGCGUAAUGCUCGAGCCCGAUCUGCAAAUCCUUUAAUUAUACUUUUCUUCAUUGAAGAGGGAUGGUUAGAUCUUUUGUAUAUAUUCU